rnacentral:rRNA from 1 species
GAUAAACGCUAGCGGCAGGCCUAACACAUGCAAGUCGAGCGGUAACGGGAGUAGCAAUACUUGCCGGCGACCGGCGCACGGGUGCGUAACAGGUGUGCAAUCUGUCCAUAGUCGGGGAAUAGCCCAGCGAAAGUUGGAUUAAAGCUCCAUGUGUCACGAAGCCGCAUGACUUUGUGAUGAAACGUAAGGACUAUGGGUGAGCACGCUUCUGAUUAGAUAGUUGGUGAGGUAACGGCUCACCAAGUCGACGAUCAGUAGGGGUUCUGAGAGGAAGGUCCCCCACAUUGGAACUGAGACACGGUCCAAACUCC